UACGAAGGGUGCAAACGUUGCUCGGAAUUAUUGGGCGUAAAGCGCACGUAGGCGGCCCAGCAAGUCGGAAGUGAAAUCCCACGGCUCAACCAUGGAAGUGCUUUCGAAACUGCUGGGCUUGAGUACAAAAGAGGAUCGCGGAAUUCCCGGUGUAGAGGUGAAAUUCGUAGAUAUCGGGAGGAACACCAGUGGCGAAGGCGGCGAUCUGGGUUGAUACUGACGCUGAGGUGCGAAAGCGUGGGGGCAAACAGG
rnacentral:rRNA from 1 species